AUUGAACGCUGGCGGCAUGCUUGACACAUGCAAGUCGAACGGCAGCACAAUCCAGCUUGCUGGAGAGGUGGCGAGUGGCGAACGGGUGAGUAACGCGUAGGAAUAUGCCUUAAAGAGGGGGACCACUUGGGGAAACUCAAGCUAAUACCGCAUACACUCUGAGGAGAGAAGCUGGGGACCCUCGGGCCUGGCGCUUUAAGAUUAGCUUGCGUCCGAUUAGCUAGUUGGCAGGGUAAGGGCCUACCAAGGCGACGAUCGGUGGCUGGUCUGAGAGGAUGACCAGCCACACUGGAACUGAGACACGGUCCAGACUCCUACGGGAGGCAGCAGUGGGGAAUAUUGGACAAUGGGGGGAACCCUGAUCCAGCAAUGCCGCGUGUGUGAAGAAGGCCUGAGGGUUGUAAAGCACUUUCAGUGGGGAGGAGGGUUAUCAGGUUAAGAGCUGGAUGACUGGACGUUACCCACAGAAGAAGCACCGGCUAACUCCGUGCCAGCCGCCGCAGUAAUAC
rnacentral:rRNA from 1 species